rnacentral:rRNA from 1 species
GACGAACGCUGGCGGCGUGCUUAACACAUGCAAGUCGAACGGAAAGGCCCCUUUGGGGGUCCUCGAGCGGUGAACGGGGGCGUAACACGAGCGUAACCUGCACUUGACUUCGGGACAACUUCAGGAUACUGGGGCUAAUACCGGUAAGGAAUCAUUGCUGCAUGCGCGGGGUUGGAAAGUUUCGGCGGGUUUGGAUGUCAUCGCGGCUUAUCAGCUUGUUGGUGGGGGUAUGGCUUACCGAGGCUGUUUCGGGUAGCCGGCCUGUGAGGGCGACCGGCCGCCUUGGGACUUAGGUACGGCCCCGACUCCUACUGGUGGCAGCAGUGCGGAAUAUUGCACGAUGGGCGGCGGCCUGAUGCAGCAAGGCCGCGUGCGGGAAGACGGCCUUAGGGUUGUAAACCGAUUUCAGCAGGGGCGAAGCUUGUGGUGACGGUACCUGCAGAAGAAGCACCGGCUAACUACGUG